GUACCUCACAUAAUGUCCGAUACACAUGGGAAGCUCUGAAAGUAUUUACUGAAUGAGUAACUAAAUGAGUGAAUGAAUUAAUUCAAAGCCAAGUUUGACGUUAUGUUAGAUUCUAGGAGAAGAAGACACAAUCUCCAACUUCGAUGCUGAUCUAAGAAAAUAACUGUAACAGUGUGUUCAAAGUCACGUUGGAGAGGAAAGCCCAGGUACAACAUUGGAGUUCAGCAGGAGAAAGGUGAGUGUUUAUACUGAAAGCAUGCUACCAAGAUACAUUUUUUAGCUCAUCUUGACUUUGGAAUUGCCAUGUACUAAAUGUUUGGGUCCCCUCAAAUUCCUAUGUUGAAACCUAAUCCUUGAUGUGAUGGUAUUAUGAAGUGAAGUCUUUGGGAGAGUAUUAGAUCAUGAGGGCAGACCCUUCAUGAAUGGCAUUAACGUCCUUAUAAAAGAGACCUCAAGAUCUCCAUGGCCCCUUCCUGCUU
rnacentral:lncRNA from 1 species